GCACUCGUGGCAAAAAGCAGUUAAUAAGCGCUUGGCUACUAACCAAGAGAUUGAUGGUUCAAACCCACCCAGCGGCA
rnacentral:tRNA from 1 species